rnacentral:rRNA from 1 species
GACGUAGGAGGCGAGCGUUGUCCGGAGUCACUGGGCGUAAAGGGCGCGCAGGCGGCCGGGCGCGCCGCUCCGUCACAGCCCCCGGCUCAACCGGGCGGAUGCGGGCGGGACGGCCUGGCUGGAGGGUGCUAGGGGCCAGUGGAAUUCCCGGUGUAGUGGUGAAAUGCGUAGAUACCGGGAGGAACACCCGCAGCGAAGGCAGCUGGCUGGGGCAACCCUGACGCUGAGGCGCGAAGGCUCGGGGAGCGAAUGGG